ensembl:rRNA 5S_rRNA 5S ribosomal RNA
GCUUACGACCACGCCACCCUGUGCGUGUCCAAUCUCCUCUGAUCUCGUGAAACCAAGCAGGGUCGGGCCUGGUUAGUACUUGGAUGGGAGAUCACCUGCGAAUACCAGGUGCCGUAAGCU